CGUGACUAUUUGUAAAACAGUUACAUGUGUAUAUUUAUUUUUUUUAAGCGGAUACGUGCAAUAUACAAAAGUCAGGGGUUUACAAUAUUAUUACUGUCGUCUCGCGUUUCGUGGAUUUUCCGUCCGUCUGAUACAAAAUAACAAUUUCAAUAUAAAUCAACUGUGUCGAAUUAUCGACCGAACCGAUAAAAAUAUAAUCUAAUUUGACAUUUAGUUUUUUUUUUUGAUCAAUUUACCAAAAAAAAUGAGUGGAAAUUCUACCUAGGCUGUAUAAUAUAUUAUACAGGGUUUCCUACAGUGUUCUGU